rnacentral:rRNA from 1 species
GAUGAACGCUGACAGAAUGCUUAACACAUGCAAGUCAACUGUGGCGGACGGGUGCGUAACGCGUACAGAACUUGCCUCACAGCUAGGGACAACCUUUGGAAACGAAUGCUAAUACCUGCUACUGUGAGAGAGCUUUGCGUCCCAUUAGCUAGUUGGAGAGGUAACGGCUCACCAUGGCGAUGAUGGGUAGCCGGCCUGCGAGGGUGAUCGGCCACAAGGGGACUGAGACACGGCCCUUACGCCUACGGGAGGCAGCAGUGGGGAAUAUUGAACAAUGGACCAAAGUCUGAUCCAGCAAUUCUGUGUGCAAGAUGAAGUUUUCGGAAUGUAAAGUGCUUUCAGUUGGGAAGCGGUACCAACAGAAGAAGUGACGGCUAAAUACGUGCCAGCAGCCGCGGUAAUAC